CUACGGGGUGCUCCAGUGGGGAAUAUUGCACAAUGGAGGAAACUCUGAUGCAGCAACGCCGCGUGGAGGAUGACACUUUUCGGAGCGUAAACUCCUUUUAUAUAGGAAGAAGAUGACGGUACUAUAUGAAUAAGCGCCGGCUAACUCCGUGCCAGCAGCCGCGGUAAUACGGAGGGCGCAAGCGUUACUCGGAAUCACUGGGCGUAAAGAGCGUGUAGGCGGAUUAAAAAGUCAGAAGUGAAAUCCUAUAGCUUAACUAUAGAACUGCUUCUGAAACUCUUAAUCUAGAAUGUGGGAGAGGUAGAUGGAAUUUCUGGUGUAGGGGUAAAAUCCGUAGAGAUCAGAAGGAAUACCGAUCGCGAAGGCGAUCUACUAGAACAUUAUUGACGCUGAGACGCGAAAGCGUGGGGAGCAAACAGGAUUAGAUACCCCUGUAGUC
rnacentral:rRNA from 1 species